rnacentral:rRNA from 1 species
GGCAGACGGCUCAGUAACGCGUAGUCAACCUAACCUAUGGACGGGAAUAACCUCGGGAAACUGAGAAUAAUGCCCGAUAGAACACUAUGCCUGGAAUGGUUUGUGUUCCAAAUGAUUUAUCGCCGUAGGAUGGGACUGCGGCCUAUCAGUUUGUUGGUGAGGUAAUGGCCCACCAAGACUAUUACAGGUACGGGCUCUGAGAGGAGUAGCCCGGAGAUGGGUACUGAGACACGGACCCAGGCCCUAUGGGACGCAGCAGGCGAGAAAACUUUGCAAUGUGCGAAAGCACGACAAGGUUAAUCCGAGUGGUUUCUGCUAAAGGAACCUUUUGUCGGUCCUAGAAACACCGAUGAAUAAGGGGUGGGCAAGUUCUGGUGUCAGCCGCCGCGGUAAAACCAGCACCUCAAGUGGUCAGGAUGAUUAUUGGGCCUAAAGCAUCCGUAGCCUGCUUUGUUAGUUUUCGGUUAAAUCUAUACGCUCAACGUAUAGGCUGCCGGGAAUACUGCAAAGCUAGGGAGUGGGAGAGGUAGACGGUACUCGGUAGGAAGGGGUAAAAUCCUUUGAUCUAUUGAUGACCACCUGUGGCGAAGGCGGUCUACCAGAACACGUCCGACGGUGAGGGAUGAAAGCUGGGGGAGCAAACCGGAUUAGAUACCCGGGUAGUCCCAGCCGUAAACUAUGCAAACUCAGUGAUGCAUUGGCUUGUGGCCAAUGCAGUGCUGCAGGGAAGCCGUUAAGUUUGCCGCCUGGGAAGUACGUACGCAAGUAUGAAACUUAAAGGAAUUGGCGGGA